rnacentral:lncRNA from 1 species
UUAGUUUUGGGUAGUGCUAUCAGUUUGUUGUAUCCUUGUAAUUUUUGGGUUAUAUAAUUGGUGUUUGGUUCUUUGAUAUCUGUAGCUCUGGGGUUAUGGUUUAGGAAGGUUUGUACUCUGUAUAUAUUUUCUAUGUAUUUUUGGGAUGUGUAGUUGUAUAUUUUCUUGUCUUGGUUUAGGCUGUCUCGGUAUGUAUUAACUUGUGGGGGUAUGAAUAAAUGGUCUUUUUGUGUUUUAGGGGUAAAUGGUUUUUCGAAUAUUUUAUUCAUAUUUGCAUUUUGGUAUCUUGGUCUGUUAACUCCUUUGCUUGUACCUGCAGAAGU